rnacentral:rRNA from 1 species
AUUGAACGCUGGCGGCAGGCCUAACACAUGCAAGUCGAAUGGUAACAGGAAACAGCUUGCUGUUUCGCUGACGAGUGGCGGACGGGUGAGUAAUGUCUGGGAAACUGCCUGAUGGAGGGGGAUAACUACUGGAAACGGUAGCUAAUACCGCAUAACGUCGCAAGACCAAAGAGGGGGACCUUCGGCCUCUUGCCAUCAGAUGUGCCAGAUGGGAUUAGCUAGUAGGUGGGGUAACGGCUCACCUAGGCGACGAUCCCUAGCUGGUCUGAGAGGAUGACCAGCCACACUGGAACUGAGACACGGUCCAGACUCCUACGGGAGGCAGCAGUGGGGAAUAUUGCACAAUGGGCGCAAGCCUGAUGCAGCCAUGCCGCGUGUAUGAAGAAGGCCUUCGGGUU